rnacentral:lncRNA from 1 species
CCGCGAUAUCUUGCAAUGGAGCUACAGCGCAUGCGCCAGCGCUUGGCCUUUUUUUUUUCCCCCGUCGUGCUUUGCGCAGUAUAAAUUCGCCCUUCCCGGCGGUCUCGGUCUUUUCUGCUGUGGCGGUGGGUGAGUGAACAGUGUGGCUCUACGGCGGGGGUAGCGGGCUGCAGGCCUCACUGAGGCUGAGAAAAGGAAGGGGGUGGAGGGACGGUGCCCUACGAGGCUCACGAUACCUCGGCCUUUGCGCGCGGAAUAAGGAAGCUCGCAGGGGUCAGUUGGAGCGCAGCGACGGUGGCCUAGCUGGACCAUCCGCAGCGCUUCGUGGGCCAACAGUUUGCAGAUGGUGCCACUCUACGCACAAACUGUGCAGAUCUCAAAGUGAACGUUUGUGCCAUUGGGUUCCUGUGAAGUGA